rnacentral:lncRNA from 1 species
GCACACAUAAUAAAAUGUCAGAAACUACAACUGUUCCGCCUUUCCUUGGGUUUGUACAGUCGAAUUUCUCAUUUACCCUCUUGACCACAACCCAUAUUCACGCAAGGAUUGAUGAUUGAUGAUUCAUACAGAGUUUUAUGAAAUAUCUUAGAGAUUAAGAAAUAGAUGUACACCUGAAAUGCUUCCAAGGCUGAGCAGUCUCAAAAUGUCCCUUUUCUUGUAGACUGUAAUCACUAUGAUUAAUCAAGCUAUUGGAGCCUCUGGAGUUGCAAGCCAGCAAUGCCAAGAUGAAAUUCAGCAGUACAGACAAACAAUCAUGGAUUUGCUAUUAGCAGAGGUGAACAUUCAACUUUUUAACUGCAUUUUCAUUUGUUUAAUGUGCAGUUACUUCAGAAUAGUAGUUGGUAUCUAUUUGUCUUUCCCGAUUAUCUCAUUAGUCACCUUUUAAGUAGGCACACAUUCAAAGAAGGUCUGCUCACAGGUUGAAGUAUGCACUUUUGAUGGAACUCACGGAGUUAUGUUAGUCUUCAGACUCUAUCUGCCCUGCUGGGACCAUGUAGUGCAUUAGUUAAUUCAUCAUGUUGAUAUAAUUAAAUGCUGGAUCUUUCUGUGGCCUUCUUCUGCAGUAGAGCAGAUCAGCAGGACUGCACGAUGAUAUGUGCUUUGCUUGUGAAAUUGCAGUCAUAUGGAUGGAGAAUCAACUGAGACAAAACCAUACUCAAGAUCGCAUAUUGGACUAUCUGAACGAGGUAAAAAGUCGUCGCUACCUUUUGUUCCAUACAGAUUGCCAACUGACUGACAGCUUUGUGAGCGUCUCCCAAGCCCAAUGGGAGAAUCAACUGUUGACCGUGGAAAGCUUUCUUCCAUGCCUACAGUCUCCUUCACAAAUUGGAGUAAAGAUGCAGUUAAGGUUACUAGCUUUCCUGUUGAGACUUCCACUGCAUAGUGCAUGUUCGAUUCUUCACUAGACAAGAGGAAAAUAUCAUCCUAGAUUAAAUUUUACAGUAAAAACAAAAUGCUAAUUCUAUACUACUUUUGCUACCAUACUCACGAGAUGACACAUGAUUUGAUGACGGUAUUAGGAGUCCUUCGAAUACAUCUAAGCCCUGGACACCAUUGUGCCAUAUCCACUGGUAAAUAAACACGUGUACUACACAUGUCCUUCUACCUCAUCUGUUUUUCCAUUAUUUUGCUUCAUUUUUUCAUCUUUUCCAUCAUCUUAUACUUUUGUAUUUUUCAUUCUCUCAUACUCACUGUUGGCGAAGACUUUUAGAAAUUGAUGAAAAAUUAGAGAAGAAUAAUUCGAAUCCUGAGCUGGUGCAUCAAUUUUGGUGAUGAAAUUUCACAUUUGACUACCGAAAUUGGAGGUAAUUUUCAUUCUAAUUAAAUUUCUGCAGUCUUGAAUCCCACUAUUCAUUUACAACACAUGUUAUUAGCCUACUACUACGUGGCUCUCUGGCACACAAUUCUGUCCUACAUGGAAAAAGAACAUGUAUCUUUAUCGAGAACUAACGAGAGGAACAUUAAAAAGUCCAAAUCGUUCUUCACAAGCGAGGUAGAAACGCAGGCAACUUCACACUAUAGUCAUCCUGCAAUGAGUUUAUUACUGCCUACAUAAGGGUCUGCUCAAAUGGUUUUAGACAAAGGCCAUUUAUGUUUCUUAUUGGCAACAGUGAUAGGUGAAAUAUCUUUUCUGUAUAUUUUUAUUUGCCUUGCUAAAUGGACACUUUUAAACUUUUCUUUUUUUGCCCUUUUAGAAGGAGGAGAAAUAUGGGUCCUAUUUUGUUUAGUUUAUAUUGAAUCCCUACGUACUGCACAUAUAAUUCAAUAAUACCUUGACGUUGUUAUUGCUUCUGCAGGGCGUACAACUGUUCAAUCAACGAUAUGUACCAGCAAUUUUUUCCCUCCGACAUCAUUUUCUCUCUGUUAAAAUUGAUAAUAUAAUUGGAUUCAGGUCAAAGUGGAUUGUGGGAUACUUCUGAAGUAGCAAGGUGAAGUUGUGUUAGCGCAUGAUUUUACAAGAAACUAUUGAGUCUGUUAUGAUUAGGGGUGUUCAUGGUUCGAUUUGGAUCGGUUAUUAGUUAAAACCAAAACCAAAUCAAUUUAAAUCGGUUUUUAAAUUUUUAAAAUCAAACCAAAUCGAAUAAAAAAAAAACCGUCAAUUUGGUUAGGUUUUUAUCGGGUUUUUUCGGUUCAAAAGUAAUAAGUUUGUUGAGGACAUAUGCAUCUCGAUAGAUACAAACACUUAGUACAUGAAUAAUUCACAAAUAAGCUAUUACACGAACAAAGUGAUUCGUUCAAUGUACCAAGUUUUAGAAACUAAAAAAAAUCAUUGUCAAUAACAUAAAGUUGGUUCAAUAUUCUAGAGAUCUCAGCAUCUUAUCAAUAGACUUUUCAAUAAAAUUACACCUUAAAAUAUUGAGAAAUUACUUCUCAAAAAAUAAUAAUCAAUAUUUCAUAGUUAAAACUAAUCAAUUACCAUCUUCUUUAGCUUGAGCUUUAAAUUAUUCAAUGUUGCGUUAGAAAAAUUUAUAAAGAACAUAGAAAGUGUGAUCUUUAAAGUAAUGAAUAUUGAAGGAUUUAGACUUAAGGUUAUAAUAGUUGGGCUAAAAUUUAAGUGUUGGGCUUCAAAAAUAGUAAAAUUAAAGACUUAAGUUAAUUAAAAUUUAUCAAAAUAAUAAUAUUUUAUUUAUAAAUAAUUAUAAAAUUUAUAUAUAUAACUUCUCGGUUUGGUUUGGUUAUUUUUGCGGUUAAUUUUUAGUAAAAUCAAAACCAAACCAAAUAAUAUCGAUUUUUCAAAAUUUAAAAUCAAACCUAACCAAAUCAAACUAAAUAUCAAUUUUUUUAAUCGAAUUGCGGUUCGGUUUGAUUUUAUAACCAUAACCAUGAACAACCCUAGUUAUGAUUGUAAAAGCAUCCGAAAAACUCCAAAUACAAUUUUAAUACUACAAGCUUUUGUGAAAUGAAAAUUUUCAACUAAUCUGACCUUUCUGUCAU